rnacentral:rRNA from 1 species
UUAGAGUUUGAUCCUGGCUCAGAUUGAACGCUAGCGGGAUGCCUUACACAUGCAAGUCGAACGGCAGCACGGACUUCGGUCUGGUGGCGAGUGGCGAACGGGUGAGUAAUGUAUCGGAACGUGCCCAGUAGCGGGGGAUAACUACGCGAAAGCGUAGCUAAUACCGCAUACGCCCUACGGGGGAAAGCAGGGGAUCGUAAGACCUUGCACUAUUGGAGCGGCCGAUAUCGGAUUAGCUAGUUGGUGGGGUAACGGCUCACCAAGGCGACGAUCCGUAGCUGGUUUGAGAGGACGACCAGCCACACUGGGACUGAGACACGGCCCAGACUCCUACGGGAGGCAGCAGUGGGGAAUUUUGGACAAUGGGGGAAACCCUGAUCCAGCCAUCCCGCGUGUGCGAUGAAGGCCUUCGGGUUGUAAAGCACUUUUGGCAGGAAAGAAACGUCAUGGGUUAAUACCCCGUGAAACUGACGGUACCUGCAGAAUAAGCACCGGCUAACUACGUGCCAGCAGCCGCGGUAAUACGUAGGUGCAAGCGUUAAUCGGAAUUACUGGGCGUAAAGCGUGCGCAGGCGGUUCGGAAAGAAAGAUGUGAAAUCCCAGAGCUUAACUUUGGAACUGCAUUUUUAACUACCGGGCUAGAGUGUGUCAGAGGGAGGUGAAUUUCCCGUGUACAGUGAAAUGCGUAAUAUGCGGAGGACACGAUGCGAAGCAGCCCCUGGGAUACACUGACCUCAUGCCAAAGCUGGGGAGAAACGGAUUAAACCCUGGUGUCCCGCCUUAACAUGUCAAUACUGUGGGGCCUCGGCCUG